rnacentral:rRNA from 2 species
AUGAGGAAAAGAAACCAACAGGGAUUGCCUCAGUAACGGCGAGUGAAGCGGCAAAAGCUCAAAUUUGAAAUCCCCCGGGAAUUGUAAUUUGAAGAGAUUUGGGUCCGGCCGGCGGGGGUUAAGUCCACUGGAAAGUGGCGCCACAGAGGGUGACAGCCCCGUGAACCCCUUUAACGCCUUCAUCCCAGAUCUCCAAGAGUCGAGUUGUUUGGGAAUGCAGCUCUAAGUGGGUGGUAAAUUCCAUCUAAAGCUAAAUACCGGCGAGAGACCGAUAGCGAACAAGUACAGUGAUGGAAAGAUGAAAAGCACUUUGAAAAGAGAGUGAAAGUGUACGUGAAAUUGUUGAGAAGGGAAGGGCUUGCAAGCCGACACUUAACUGGGCCAGCAUCGGGGCGGCGGGGAGCAAAACCACCGGGGAAUGUACCUUUCGAGGAUCAUUACCCCGGCCCUUACUUCCCACACCGCCCCGAGGCCUGCAAUCUAAGGAUGCUGGCGUAAUGGUUGCAAGUCGCCCGUUGA